GCUUUAACUGUUGUGAUGAAGAGGGAAUUUCACCAGCUUCUCCAUAUAUACAAAUGACACCUGCUGAAAUUCCCUUUUCUAUGCAACUAUUAAAGAUGCAGGAGCCUUGUCCUCCUUUUCAUAUGGUCACCCUACUCAACACUCCUGCGAAAGAGGCGGAAAAACAACGCCCUCUUUUGCAGGCAAGCCGAGAGGUUGCGAAAAGGAAUUGAUGAAUAGGAUAUCCACAAGAUACCCUCUGGCGGCAUUUGGCAAAUUAAAAAGGAAGUGAGGCAGGUGGCUACCAGGAGGAGGGCUUUCUCUGCUGUGGCACCCUGGUUGUGGAACGAUCUCCCCAGAGAGGUUCGCUUGGCACCUACAUUGUUUUCCUUUCGUCGCCAGCUGAAGACCUUUUUAUUUUCUCAGUAUUUUAACAACUAAUUUAACUUAAAUUUAAACUUUGCUGUUUUAAUCUCAUAUUUUAACCUAUAUUAAUUUUUGCUGUGUCGUUUUAUUCUGGUUGUGCUUUUUAUAUUAUAUUUCGUAUGUGUGUUUUAAAUUUGUUGGUUGU